AUUGAACGCUAGCGGGAGGCUUUACACAUGCAAGUCGAACGGAGUGGCGGACGGGUGAGUAAUAUAUCGGAAACUGCCCAGUAGCGGGGGAUAACUACUGGAAAGGGUGGCUAAUACCGCAUACUAUCGGAGCGGCCGAUAUCGGAUUAGCUAGUUGGUGGGGUAAAGGCUCACCAAGGCAACGAUCCGUAGCUGGUCUGAGAGGACGACCAGCCACACUGGGACGGAGACACGGCCCAGACUCCUACGGGAGGCAGCAGUGGGGAAUGUUGCACAAUGGGGGAAACCCUGAUGCAGCCAUGCCGCGUGUAUGAUGAAGGCCUUCGGGUUGUAAAGUACUUUUGGCGGGGAGGCGUUAUCCGCAGAAUAAGCACCGGCUAACUCCGUGCCAGCAGCCGCGGUAAUAC
rnacentral:rRNA from 1 species